CUAUAUAAACCUAAACCCAAAGAAAGAUAUCACAAACACGAGCUUAGGAACUAUUUGAAUACGCGAAUUUCAAAUUAAGAGAUUUUAUAUUUUUAUUUAAUAUAAAAGGCUUAUAUUUAGAUUUGGUAUAGACGAGAGAUUGAAUUGUUGAGAGCUUUUAUUAUGAGGAAUUUGAAUGACUAAUUAUAGAGUUGAUUUGAAAUCCUAUACCAAUGGUUAUAAAAAUAUAUAAAUAUGAUCACUUUUACCUCUAAUCUUAUGGUACUAUAGUUUCACAAUCAACUUAUUUAAACCUCCUUGAUUUUGUGAAUGGACUCAAAAGGUAAAAAAAAUUACAUUAAAGAUGAAAAAAAAACACGGAUACUAAAACAACUAUAUAAACCUAAACCCAAAGAAAGAUAUCACAAACACGAGCUUAGGAACUAUUUGAAUACGCGAAUUUCAAAUUAAGAGAUUUUAUAUUUUUAUUUAAUAUAAAUAGCUUAUAUUUAGAUUUGGUAAUAGACGUAGAGAUUGAAUUUUGAGAGCUUUUAUUAUGAUGAAUUUGAAUUGACUAAUUAAUAUGAGUGAUUUGAAAUCCUAUACCAAUAGUUAUAAUUAUAUAAAAUAUGCAUCACUUUUACCUCUAAUCUUCAUGUUACUCUAGUUUCACAAUCCACAUUUAUUUAAACCUCCUUUAUUUUUGUUGAAUUGGACUCAAAAUUUCUUAAUUUGAAAUUAGUAUAUCCAAAUGAAGCCUUAGAGAUUUGGUGUCACACCCUCAACCUAAUUAAACAUAACUAAUACUAAUUAGGUGGAAUGUGAUCGCACAGAACACCUUGCCUACGAACGAUAUUCACCACAUACUCAACAAUAUAAAGUCCCUUCAAUACUCAUUCAUUGAUAAUUAAAAACCAAACUUCAUAAGUGACACUGAUAAUUAAAACUGCAAAUCAUAAGAUAGGCAUACAUAAACAUCCUGAACUAAAUAUAAACAAACUCCUUCUAAAAUAUAACAUAUAUACACAACUGAUACAAAGAGAGAUAAAACUGUACAAAGGCAAGAACUCCCCCAAGUUCAGCCAACGAAAUCCAACCACAAUCAGGAAAGUCACACGUCUAGGACCACGACUAUAGUGAACCAGAUAGCUAGUCAUAUCAGCUUGCCUAUCAAAACAAUCUGUGUGGGUGUGAGUUAAUAAUCAACGUGCUCAUAAUAGAUAAUCAAAUACAUUUAGAAUGAUAUAAGAAUUAUACAUCACAGAUAUCAGCAAUAAAUAAUACCAGUAUAAAAUUAAUGUCAAAGCAUAAUGCAUCACUCACAUGUGCGCGCAAAUUUAGAUAACGUUGGCCAAUAAUUUGAUGGCUCGUUAUUCAAGGAGCCCCACAUCGAUACCAUAAGACAAUCCCCACACGAUUAAUCUAAGGUCAACCCCCACUAGUUUACAUCUUUAGGUUAGCCCCAACAUCGGCAAUUACCCUUUCUCUAGUGCAAUGCAAAGCAUACCAAUAUGCAAAGCCACUCAUUUAUAAUCAUCAUCAACAAUAUAUCAAUUCACUCAUGCAUAUAUAUCCACAUGUUAUCAAAAGGAAAUCAAUUCAAAUAUGAAUAAGACUAUCUGUCUUUAUCCCACUGUACCGACUUAAACCGCGAUAAGAUUUACACUUGGGGUUGCCUGAAGCUCUUCUCUUUAUUUCUGUCAAUCAUAAUUUCAGCAGGAUCCUGCCCCACGCGCCGGCGCACGUAAUGUAUACAUCAUUAAUGAUUAACAACAUAUCAUAUGCUGCAUUCCACUCGUAAAACUCUCGACAACUUAAAUGAACCUAAAUAUUGGCUAAUAAUGCAAUAUAAUAAACUCCUCCGAAUCUAAUAUAAUACUUCAACUUUAUACCAAAAAUAAGCCUAAACUGAUGAAUGAAUUCUCAUUAAAAAUUAGUAUCCAACCCUAUUAAAAAUUAAGGCGAUCGGACCAAUUUUUCACAUGAUAUUCACUAAACACUGCUCAUUAUCACUACCGAUACGCUUAAUGUACUUCGUCAUCCUAACUUUAGAAUACUCCAAAACUAACCCUACAUCAUAUCCAAAAACGCUGAUGAAAAACAUAGAAAUGGACUAUUCACGGACCAAAAAAAACUUCAUUGUGUCUACACCCAAUGUGUUCUACAAUCAUAGAUAUGGUUUGAAUGUCAUUAUGAGAAAAUCUAUUUCCUAGUAGUGAGGUUUUUUAGAUUCUACUUGUCCCUAUAUUGAAUUGUCUUAAUGUAAUCAUUAAAGUGAAUAUUAUCAGCUAUGAGAGGACUUGUGAUUCUGUUACAUGGACUGAAAUAAAUAUAACAAAUGUCAAACCACCUCGAAACCGGCUGCGUCAAACUAAUUAAUUGGACGUUUGGGACCAAAGGGUUUGGGGGUGGUGGUUUGACCAAUAUCCAAUAAGAAAAGAAAAACCUAAAGAAUUUUGCAAAGGGGCCACAACGUUUUGUUGUUGAUUCACGUAAGAGCCUGGAUUGGACGAGGAGGAUA
rnacentral:lncRNA from 1 species